rnacentral:rRNA from 1 species
AAAAAUGAGCGGGAAGUGAAUUUGGAAGAAGGCGAGAAAAGCUGAGUGAAUAGAAGAUAGAGCCCGUACCGCAAACCGACACAGGUAGAUAGGAAGAAGAUUCUAAGGCCAACGGGAGAAGGGUUGUUAAGGAACUCGGCAAGUUGACCCCGCAACUUAGGGAGAAGGGGUGCUCUUUAAGGAGAGCCGCGGAGAAUAGGCCCAAGCGACUGUUUAGCAAAAACACAGCUCUAUGCUAAAUCGAAAGAUGACGUAUAUGGGGUGACACCUGCCCGGUGCCGGAAGGUUAAGAGGAGGAGUGAGAGCUCUGAAUUGAAGCCCCGGUAAACGGCGGCCGUAGCAAUAACGGUCCUAAGGUAGCGAAAUUCCUUGUCAGGUAAGUUCUGACCCGCACGAAUGGUGUAACGAUUUGGGCACUGUCUCAACAACCUGCCCGGCGAAAUUGUAGUACCGGUGAAGAUGCCGGUUACCCGCGACUAGACGGAAAGACCCCAUGGAGCUUUACUGCAGCUUAAUAUUGAAUUUCGGUAUUUCAUGUACAGGAUAGGUGGGAGACAGGGAACCAUAGGCGUCAGCUUAUGGGGAGUCGACCUUGGGAUACCACUCUUGAGGUGCUGGAAUUCUAACCUGUGGCUCUGAAUCGAGUCAGGGGACAUUGUUAGGCGGGCAGUUUGACUGGGGCGGUCGCCUCCAAAAAGGUAACGGAGGCGCUCAAAGGUUCGCUCAGCAUGGAUGGAAACCAUGCUUUUUGAGUGUAAACGCAAAAGCGAGCCUAACUGCGAGACUGACGGGUCGAGCAGUAACGAAAGUUGGAGUUAGUGAUCCGGCGGUAUGUGAGUGGAAAUGCCGUCGCUCAACGGAUAAAAGCUACCCUGGGGAUAACAGGCUGAUCUCCCCCAAGAGUCCACAUCGACGGGGAGGUUUGGUACCUCGAUGUCGGCUCAUCGCAUCCUGGGGCUGAAUUCGGUCCCAAGGGUUUGGCUGUUCGCCAAUUAAAGCGGUACGCGAGCUGGGUUCAGAACGUCGUGAGACAGUUCGGUCCCUAUCUGUCGUGGGCGUAGGAUAUUUGAAAGGAGCUGUCCCUAGUACGAGAGGACCGGGAUGGACGCACCGCUGGUGCACCAGUUGUCAUGCCAAUGGCACAGCUGGGCAGCUAUGUGCGGAACGGAUAAACGCUGAAGGCAUCUAAGCGUGAAGCCGACCUUAAGAUAAGAUAUCCCUUCGUAAGAGUAAGACCUCUCAUAGACUAUGAGUUUGAUAGGCCUAAGGUGUAAGCACAGUGAUGUGUUCAGCCUGCAGGUACUAAUCGGUCGAGGGCUUUUUC